UGGGGAAUAUUGGACAAUGGGGGCAACCCUGAUCCAGCCAUGCCGCGUGUGUGAAGAAGGCCUUUUGGUUGUAAAGCACUUUAAAGCAGGGAGGAGAGGGCUAAAUUGGGUUAAAUACCCCACUAGAUUAGACGUUACCUGCAGAAUAAGCACCGGCUAACUCUGUGCCAGCAGCCGCGGUAAUACAGAGGGUGCGAGCGUUAAUCGGAAUUACUGGGCGUAAAGCGAGUGUAGGUGGCUCAUUAAGUCACAUGUGAAAUCCCCGGGCUUAACCUGGGAACUGCAUGUGAUACUGGUGGUGCUAGAAUAUGUGAGAGGGGGAGUAGAAUUCCAGGUGUAGCGGUGAAAUGCGUAGAGAUCUGGAGGAAUACCGAUGGCGAAGGCAGCUUCCUGGCAUAAUAUUGACACUGAGAUUCGAAAGCGUGGGUAGCAAACAGGAUUAGAUACCCUGGUAGUCCACGCCGUAAACGAUGUCUACUAGCCGUUGGGGUCCUUGAGACUUUAGUGGCGCAGUUAACGCGAUAAGUAGACCGCCUGGGGAGU
rnacentral:rRNA from 1 species